UACGUAGGGGGCAAGCGUUGUCCGGAAUCAUUGGGCGUAAAGAGCGUGUAGGCGGCCCGGUAAGUCCGCUGUGAAAGUCCAGGGCUCAACCCUGGGAUGCCGGUGGAUACUGCCGGACUAGAGUUCGGAAGAGGCGAGUGGAAUUCCCGGUGUAGCGGUGAAAUGCGCAGAUAUCGGGAGGAACACCAAUGGCGAAGGCAGCUCGCUGGGACGUUACUGACGCUGAGACGCGAAAGCGUGGGGAGCAAACAGG
rnacentral:rRNA from 1 species